rnacentral:rRNA from 1 species
AACUUUCAGCAACGGAUCUCUUGGGCUCUCGCAUCGAUGAAGAACGCANCGAAAUGCGAUAAGUAAUGUGAAUUGCAGAAUUCAGUGAAUCAUCGAAUCUUUGAACGCACCUUGCGCUCCUUGGUAUUCCGAGGAGCAUGCCUGGUUAUGAGUGUCAUU